rnacentral:rRNA from 1 species
CAGCAGCCACGGUAAUACGAAGGGGGCUAGCGUUGCUCGGAAUUACUGGGCGUAAAAGGAGCGUAGGCGGAUCGUUUAGUCAGGGGUGAAAUCCCGGGGCUCAACCUCGGAACUGCCUUUGAUACUGGCGAUCUUGAGUAUGGGAGAGGUGUGUGGAACUCCGAGUGUAGAGGUGAAAUUCGUAGAUAUGCGGAGGAACACCGAUGGCGAAGGCAAUCCCCUGGGCCUGCACUGACGCUCAUGCACGAAAGCGUAGGGAGCAAACAGGAUUAGAUACCCCGGUAGUCCCUGUCUCUUAUAC